rnacentral:lncRNA from 1 species
CUGCCAUUAAGAGUUCUACUUGGGGCUGGGGAGUUAGCCAGUGGUUCUGGCGCCUGCCUUGCAAGCGCAAGGUCCCAAGUUCGUUCCCCUGUACAAAAAAAAGUUCUAACUGGACCCUCUGUUUCCAGCCACACUACUACCAAAUUAAUCUCCCUUUAAGGUCAGAGGUCUGAAAAUGCUGGAGGGGCUGUGGGAAAAAAAGAAUCCUUCUCCACUGGUGGUGGGAGUAUAGACUCGUGCAACCACUGUGCAAAUCAGUGUAAAGAUUUCUCAAAGAACUAAAACUACAGGUUUCAUUUGACCCAGCUAUACUUCUUCUUGGUAUCUUCCUGAAAGAAUUAAAGCAUCAUACCACAGUGAUAUAUGCCUACCCAUAUUUACAGUGGCACAGUUUGGAACAGCUGCAUCUUGGAAACAGCCCAAAUGCCCAUCGACCACUGGCGAAUGGCUAAAGAUAUGGGGUUUUUUUGUUGUUGGUGUUGGUUUUUUUUUUUUUUUUUUUUUCUUUUGGUACCAGGAUGGAACUCGGGACCUUGCAUUUGGAAGGCAGGCAGUGGCACCAUUGAGCUAAAUCCCCAGCCCCAGAUAUGUUUUUUUUUUAAUACAACGGAGUACUACUCUGUCACAAAGGAUGAACUUCAGACAUUUACAGCUAAAUGGCUGGACCUUGAGACCAUACUCUUAAGUGAAAUAAAUUGGACACACAUGUUUAAAUACUUCAUUGUUUCUCCAGAGUAAGAAAUCUAAAACGGAAAUAAGGACUAAAAUGUAUAAUAGAUAUUGGGAAAUGGGAAAAAAAUGUUCAAUGAGAAGGGGAGCAAGGGAGGAGAGGGAGAAAGGGACAAGAACGUGAAAGUAGAAUGGAAAAACGGAAACAGCUUUUGUACAUAGGAGGGGAGGGUGGAAUGGGAAAAGAGAUGGGAUAUAUCAUGUAGAGGUGCAAAUUCCCUAUGAUGAAUGUUACCAUUAUGUAUGCCUAAAAUGUACCAAUAACUGUUUUGCUAUAAAAACAAUGAUCAGAAUGAGUUUUCCAAUCUAAAAAAAGUGAUUUUUAAAAGCCAAAAGAAAAAAGUCAGAGGUUCGAAAUGUUGGAUAAUUUUGUCACUCUCUGACGGUUUUGUUUGUCAUAACUGUGUCUGUGCUAAUGGAUUCUAGUAGGUGGGCGGAGCAGGAAGGCUGCUGAACAUCCUGCAAUGAACAGGAUAGUCCCUACCACAAAAAAGAAUACAGAUGCUCAGAAUUAUUCUCAUUCUAAGAAGGCAAGAAUGGAGGCCAGCAAUGGAAAUAAAGGUCCAGAGAAAAGGAUUUCAAAUGAACUCAAACAGGUGUGCUUCUGGACCUGAAUAAAUUAUAUGUCUAUAAUAUUAGCAUGCAAGGUUGUUGAUCUACGGGUCAGAACAAUUUUUGUUUGCCUGGAAGGAUGUUAAUGUCAUUA